AACAUCGCGCACCUGCGGGAACCUGCGGAGGGAUCAUUACCGAGUUUACAACUCCCAAACCCCUGUGAACAUACCAAUUGUUGCCUCGGCGGAUCAGCCCGCUCCCGGUAAAACGGGACGGCCCGCCAGAGGACCCCUAAACUCUGUUUCUAUAUGUAACUUCUGAGUAAAACCAUAAAUAAAUCAAAACUUUCAACAACGGAUCU
rnacentral:misc_RNA from 1 species